UACGGGGGGGGCAAGCGUUGUUCGGAAUUACUGGGCGUAAAGGGCUCGUAGGUGGCCAACUAAGUCAGACGUGAAAUCCCUCAGCUUAACUGGGGAACUGCGUCUGAUACUGGAUGGCUUGAGUUUGGGAGAGGGAUGCGGAAUUCCAGGUGUAGCGGUGAAAUGCGCAGAUAUCAGGAGGAACACCAAUGGCGAAGGCAGCUCGCUGGAACGGUACUGACGCUGAGGCGCGAAAGCGUGGGGAGCGAACAGG
rnacentral:rRNA from 1 species